rnacentral:rRNA from 1 species
ACUUGAAUUGAAGAGUUUGAUCAUGGCUCAGAUUGAACGCUGGCGGCAGGCUUAACACAUGCAAGUCGAACGGUAGCAGGAGAAAGCUUGCUUUCUUGCUGACGAGUGGCGGACGGGUGAGUAAUGCUUGGGAAUCUGGCUUAUGGAGGGGGAUAACGACGGGAAACUGUCGCUAAUACCGCGUAAUAUCGAAAGAUUAAAGUGUGGGACCUUCGGGCCACAUGCCAUAGGAUGAGCCCAAGUGGGAUUAGGUAGUUGGUGGGGUAAAGGCCUACCAAGCCUGCGAUCUCUAGCUGGUCUGAGAGGAUGACCAGCCACACUGGAACUGAGACACGGUCCAGACUCCUACGGGAGGCAGCAGUGGGGAAUAUUGCGCAAUGGGGGGAACCCUGACGCAGCCAUGCCGCGUGAAUGAAGAAGGCCUUAGGGUUGUAAAAGUUCUUUCGGUAUUGAGGAAGGUUGAUGUGUUAAUAGCACAUCAAAUUGACGUUAAAUACAGAAGAAGCACCGGCUAACUCCGUGCCAGCAGCCGCGGGUAAUACCGGAGGGUGCGAGCGUUAAUCGAAAUAACUGGGGCGUAAAGGGCACGCAGGCGGUUUAUUUAAGUGAGGUGGUGAAAAGCCCCCGGGCUUUAACCCUGGGAAUUGCAUUUCAAACUGGGUAACUAAAAUAUUUUAGGGAGGGGAAGAAUCCCCCCGUGUACCGGUAAAAAGCUUAAAAAAUUGGGAAGAAAACCGAAAGGCAAAGGCAGCCCCCUUGGGGAAGUUCUUGACCCUCAUUGGCAAAAGCGGGGGGGAAAAAAAGGGAUUAAAAACCCUGGAAACCCCCCCCUUAAAAACCUGUCCAUUUGGGGGGGGGGGGGGUUAAAUCUCGGGGCCCCCCGAACAAAAAAGGAAAAAACCCACCCCCCCGGGGGAAAAAACCGGCCCCGAGAGGUAAAAAAACACAAAAAAAAAAAAUUUUAGGGGGGGGGCCCCCCCCCCCACAAACACGGGGGGGGGAA